AACACCGGCGGCUUCUCUUCCUCACAGAGAGUCGCAAAACCAAGAAAAGAAAGAAACAAUAAUUGUGUUGCAGAAAUUUUAGGAAAGUUUCCAUUUUCACUCAUCCAUCCACAGAGUCUCCAUUAACCAUUCAUUCAUGGCUUCCUCUGCUAUUUUCAACUUUCUGCCAUCAUCUUCAUCGUCAUUGAGUACUCUUUCCUUUAGAAACAGCAGAACUCAAACCCCAAUUUUUUACAAACCCCUUAUAGUCAAAGCUUCUACUUCUGUCGAUUAUUCUUCCUCCUCCCUCGCCGGUAUAUCUACAAAGAAUAAUAACUGGGUAUGGAAAUACAAGGACAAUUCUGUGAAUAUUUACUACGAGGAACACCACAAGGGAAGCGAUGAGCCUUGUAAGAACAUUUUGAUGAUUCCCACUAUUUCAGAUGUUAGUACUGUUGAGGAAUGGAGAUCAGUGGCUAAAGACAUUGCUGGACGAGAUGGUAAAGUUAAUUACAGAACUGCCAUUGUGGAUUGGCCUGGUUUAGGUUACUCUGAUAGACCUAAGCUUGAUUACAAUGCUGAUGUUAUGGAAAAGUUUUUGGUAGACUUCAUCAAUGCUCCUGAUAGUCCGGUGAACAAUUCGGAUAAGGACUUGGUGGUGUUUGGAGGAGGACAUGCUGCUACCUUAGCAGUUCGUGCUGCAAAGAAGGGCUUGGUUAAGCCAAAAGCAAUUGCUUCUAUUGCUCCCACCUGGGCUGGUCCACUUCCUAUUGUUUUUGGAAGAGAUUCCAGCAUGGAAACAAGGUAUGGUUUCCUUAGAGGGACCUUAAGGGCCCCUGCUGUUGGUUGGAUGAUGUAUAAUGUACUUGUUAGCAAUGAGAAAUCAAUAACAUCACAAUAUAAGUCCCAUGUUUAUGCUGACCCUGAAAAGGUAACUCCAUAUAUCAUCGAGAGCCGAUUUGCACUCACUAAACGGCAAGGUGCUCGCUAUGUGCCUGCUGCUUUCUUGACUGGUUUACUUGACCCAGUAAAGUCCAGGGAGGAAUUUGUCCAACUCUUUGCAGAGUUGGAGGGUAACAUACCGUGUCUAGUUCUGGCAACAGCAGGUUCUCCGAAGAGGUCAAAAGCAGAGAU
rnacentral:misc_RNA from 1 species